rnacentral:rRNA from 1 species
GACGAACGCUGGCGGCGUGCUCAACACAUGCAAGUCGAACGGAAAGGCCCUGCUUUUGUGGGGUGCUCGAGUGGCGAACGGGUGAGUAACACGUGAGUAACCUGCCCUUGACUUUGGGAUAACUUCAGGAAACUGGGGCUAAUACCGGAUAGGAGCUCCUGCUGCAUGGUGGGGGUUGGAAAGUUUCGGCGGUUGGGGAUGGACUCGCGGCUUAUCAGCUUGUUGGUGGGGUAGUGGCUUACCAAGGCUUUGACGGGUAGCCGGCCUGAGAGGGUGACCGGCCACAUUGGGACUGAGAUACGGCCCAGACUCCUACGGGAGGCAGCAGUGGGGAAUAUUGCACAAUGGGCGGAAGCCUGAUGCAGCAACGCCGCGUGCGGGAUGACGGCCUUCGGGUUGUAAACCGCUUUCGCCUGUGACGAAGCGUGAGUGACGGUAAUGGGUAAAGAAGCACCGGCUAACUACGUGCCAGCAGCCGCGGUGAUACGUAGGGUGCGAGCGUUGUCCGGAUUUAUUGGGCGUAAAGGGCUCGUAGGUGGUUGAUCGCGUCGGAAGUGUAAUCUUGGGGCUUAACCCUGAGCGUGCUUUCGAUACGGGUUGACUUGAGGAAGGUAGGGGAGAAUGGAAUUCCUGGUGGAGCGGUGGAAUGCGCAGAUAUCAGGAGGAACACCAGUGGCGAAGGCGGUUCUCUGGGCCUUUCCUGACGCUGAGGAGCGAAAGCGUGGGGAGCGAACAGGCUUAGAUACCCUGGUAGUCCACGCUGUAAACGGUGGGUACUAGGUGUGGGGUCCAUUCCACGGGUUCCGUGCCGUAGCUAACGCUUUAAGUACCCCGCCUGGGGAGUACGGCCGCAAGGCUAAAACUCAAAGGAAUUGACGGGGCCCCGCACAAGCGGCGGAGCAUGCGGAUUAAUUCGAUGCAACGCGUAGAACCUUACCUGGGUUUGACAUGGAUCGGGAGUGCUCAGAGAUGGGUGUGCCUCUUUUGGGGUCGGUUCACAGGUGGUGCAUGGCUGUCGCCAGCUCGUGUCGUGAGAUGUUGGGUUAAGUCCCGCAACGAGCGCAACCCUUGUUCACUGUUGCCAGCACGUUAUGGUGGGGACUCAGUGGAGACCGCCGGGGUCAACUCGGAGGAAGGUGGGGAUGACGUCAAGUCAUCAUGCCCCUUAUGUCCAGGGCUUCACGCAUGCUACAAUGGCUGGUACAGAGAGUGGCGAGCCUGUGAGGGUGAGCGAAUCUCGGAAAGCCGGUCUCAGUUCGGAUUGGGGUCUGCAACUCGACCUCAUGAAGUCGGAGUCGCUAGUAAUCGCAGAUCAGCAACGCUGCGGUGAAUACGUUCCCGGG